AACGAACGCUGGCGGCAUGCCUAACACAUGCAAGUCGAACGAGACCUUCGGGUUUAGUGGCGCACGGGUGCGUAACGCGUGGGAACCUGCCCUUAGAUUCGGAAGAACGCCCCGGAUGGGGUGCUAAUACCGGAGAUUGUAUUCCGUCCAACGAUUUAUCGCCUUUGGAUGGGCCCGCGUUGGCUUACCUAGUUAGUAGGGUAAAAGCCUACCAAGGCGACGAUCCAUAGCUGGUUUGAGAGGAUGAGCAGCCACACUGGGAGUGAGACACGGCCAAGACUCCUACGGGAGGCAGCAGUGGGGAAUAUUGGACAAUGGGCGAAAGCCUGAUCCAGCAAUGCCGCGUGAGUGAUGAAGGCCUUAGGGUUGUAAAGCUCUUUUACCCGGGAUGAUAAUGACAGUACCGGGAGAAUAAGCUCCGGCUAACUCCGUG
rnacentral:rRNA from 1 species